AACUACACGGAUAUAAUACAGCAACUGAAAAAAUAAAAGAAAAAACUUCAAAUACCAUCCUGUGGUUUCACAUUUUUUUACUGUGGUUUAAAGUGUAUCAAUUUAGUACCCUGUGGUUUUAUUUUUCUCUUUUUAUUAUUUGAUCCACUAAUUUUUUUUCGUUAAAUCAAUUACAAAGUUAAAACUAAAAGAUACUAAAGUGAAUAUUCGAUAAACUUAAGUGGGUAUCUGAAGUUUUUUAUAUAUAAUGUAACGAAAUAUUAACGGAGAAGUUGACGAAAAGAAAAAAAAUAAAACCACAGUGUAUUAACUUGAUACACUUUAAACCACAGGGUACUUAAGUGAGAAAGUGCGAAACCACAUAGAUGAUAUUUGAAGUUUACCCAAAAAAAAAGAACUAGUUUUUUAUAAAAAAAAAUUUCUCAAGAUUCUUUUUUCUUCCUUUUCCGACGAACCAAACACUCCCAAAACUUCUAUGAGGAGCUCUCAAAUG
rnacentral:lncRNA from 1 species